UAGGGAAUCUUCCGCAAUGGGCGAAAGCCUGACGGAGCAACGCCGCGUGAGUGAUGAAGGUCUUCGGAUCGUAAAACUCUGUUAUUAGGGAAGAACAAAUGUGUAAGUAACUAUGCACGUCUUGACGGUACCUAAUCAGAAAGCCACGGCUAACUACGUGCCAGCAGCCGCGGUAAUACGUAGGUGGCAAGCGUUAUCCGGAAUUAUUGGGCGUAAAGAGCGCGUAGGCGGUUUUUUAAGUCUGAUGUGAAAGCCCACGGCUCAACCGUGGAUUGUCAUUGGAGACUGGAAUACUUGAGUGCAGAGGAGGAAAGUGGGAUUCCUUGUGUAGCGGUGAAAUGCGCAGAAAAAUGAGGAAACACCAGUAACGGAGGCGACUUUCUGGACUGUAACUGACACUAAUGUGCGAAAGCGUGGGGAUCAAACUGG
rnacentral:rRNA from 1 species